AUGCUUCAGCAGCACAUAGACUAAAAUUGUAACACUACAGAGAAGAUUAGCAUGGUUCCUGUGCAAGGAUAACAUGCAGAUUUAUGAAACUUUCCAUAUUUUC
ensembl:snRNA U6 U6 spliceosomal RNA